rnacentral:lncRNA from 10 species
GGGAGCUGAUAGACCAGAGGAGACCAAAGACUGAAACUGAAGACUAAACCAUGGAAAUUGGGAACAAGCACUUACUCGCUUAGAGGGUGAAAAAAGUGAAUUUGCCUACAGGGCCAAUUUGGAAGCACCUCUCCCUGGAAGCCAGUCAAUGAAGAGCCAUUGGAGGAUUUUAAAUAAGGAACCGAAAAAUGGAGUCUGAAAAUAGAGGCGCAGAGACCGGUUCUUCCCCAAACCAUCAUGGACCAGUUGGACUCUGAGAAGAAAAG